GUGGGGAAUAUUGGACAAUGGGCGAAAGCCUGAUCCAGCCAUGCCGCGUGUGUGAAGAAGGUCUUCGGAUUGUAAAGCACUUUAAGUUGGGAGGAAGGGCAGUAAGUUAAUACCUUGCUGUUUUGACGUUACCGACAGAAUAAGCACCGGCUAACUUCGUGCCAGCAGCCGCGGUAAUACGAAGGGUGCAAGCGUUAAUCGGAAUUACUGGGCGUAAAGCGCGCGUAGGUGGUUUUGUAAGUUGGAGGUGAAAUCCCCGGGCUCAACCUGGGAACUGCCUCCAAAACUGCAUGACUAGAGUACGGUAGAGGGUAGUGGAAUUUCCUGUGGAGCGGUGAAAUGCGUAGAGAUAGGAAGGAACACCAGUGGCGAAGGCGACUACCUGGACUGAUACUGACACUGAGGUGCGAAAGCGUGGGGAGCAAACAGGAUGAGAAACCCUGGUAGUCC
rnacentral:rRNA from 1 species